rnacentral:rRNA from 1 species
CUGUAACUGACGCUGAGGCUCGAAAGCGUGGGUAGCGAACAGGAUUAGAUACCCUGGUAGUCCACGCCGUAAACGAUGAGUGCUAGGUGUUGGGUCCUUUCCAGGACUCAGUGCCGUAGCAAACGCAUUAAGCACUCCGCCUGGGGAGUACGACCGCAAGGUUGAAACUCAAAGGAAUUGACGGGGGCCCGCACAAGCGGUGGAGCAUGUGGUUUAAUUCGAAGCAACGCGAAGAACCUUACCAGGUCUUGACAUCCCUCUGGCCGUCCUAGAGAUAGGACUUUCCUUCGGGACAGAGGAGACAGGUGGUGCAUGGUUGUCGUCAGCUCGUGUCGUGAGAUGUUGGGUUAAGUCCCGCAACGAGCGCAACCCUUAUUGUUAGUUGCCAUCAUUUAGUUGGGCACUCUAGCGAGACUGCCGGUAACAAACCGGAGGAAGGUGGGGAUGACGUCAAAUCAUCAUGCCCCUUAUGACCUGGGCUACACACGUGCUACAAUGGCUGGUACAACGAGUCGCAAGUCGGUGACGACAAGCUAAUCUCUUAAAGCCAGUCUCAGUUCGGAUUGUAGGCUGCAACUCGCCUACAUGAAGUCGGAAUCGCUAGUAAUCGCGGAUCAGCACGCCGCGGUGAAUACGUUCCCGGGCCUUGUACACACCGCCCGUCACACCACGAGAGUUUGUAACACCCGAAGUCGGUGAGGUAACCGUUAAGGAGCCAGCCGCCUAAGGUGGGAUAGAUGAUUGGGGUGAAGUCGUAACAAGGUAGCCGUAUCCUU